rnacentral:tRNA from 1 species
GCCUGGCUCGCUUAGUCAAUAGAGCAUGCAACUCUUGAUCUCGGAGUUGUGAGUUCAAGCCUCACGCUAGGCA